UGGGGAAUCUUGGACAAUGGGCGCAAGCCUGAUCCAGCCAUGCCGCGUGAGUGACGAAGGCCUUAGGGUUGUAAAGCUCUUUUGGCGGGGACGAUAAUGACCGGUACCCGCAGAAUAACGUCCCGGCUAACUUCGUGCCAGCAGCCGCGGUAAUACGAAGGGGACUAGCGUUGUUCGGAAUUACGUGGCGUAAAGCGCACGUAGGCGGAUUUGUUAGUCAGGGGUGAAAUCCCGGGGCUCAACCUCGGAACUGCCUUUGAUACUGCAAGUCUUGAGUCCGGAAGAGGUGAGUGGAAUUCCUAGUGUAGAGGUGAAAUUCGUAGAUAUUAGGAAGAACACCAGUGGCGAAGGCGGCUCACUGGUCCGGUACUGACGCUGAGUGCGAAAGCGUGGGAGCAAA
rnacentral:rRNA from 1 species